UACAGAGGGUGCAAGCGUUAAUCGGAAUUACUGGGCGUAAAGCGUGCGUAGGCGGUUUCGUAAGUCGGAUGUGAAAGCCCCGGGCUCAACCUGGGAAUUGCAUUCGAGACUGCGGAGCUCGAGUGCGGAAGAGGGAAGUGGAAUUUCCGGUGUAGCGGUGAAAUGCGUAGAUAUCGGAAGGAACAUCAGUGGCGAAAGCGACUUCCUGGUCCAGCACUGACGCUCAGGCACGAAAGCGUGGGGAGCAAAC
rnacentral:rRNA from 1 species